UACGGGGGGGGUAAGCGUUGUUCGGAAUUACUGGGCGUAAAGGGCGCGUAGGCGGGCUGCCAAGUUUGGGGUGAAAUCCUCCGGCUCAACCGGGGAAGUGCCUUGAAUACUGGCGGUCUGGAGGGAGGUAGGGGCGUGCGGAACUAACGGUGGAGCGGUGAAAUGCGUUGAUAUCGUUAGGAACUCCGGUGGCGAAGGCGGCACGCUGGACCUUUUCUGACGCUGAGGCGCGAAAGCCAGGGGAGCGAACGGG
rnacentral:rRNA from 1 species